AGACCCGAAACCCGGUGAUCUAGCCAUGGGCAGGUUGAAGGUUGGGUAACACUAACUGGAGGACCGAACCGACUAAUGUUGAAAAAUUAGCGGAUGACCUGUGGCUGGGGGUGAAAGGCCAAUCAAACCGGGAGAUAGCUGGUUCUCCCCGAAAGCUAUUUAGGUAGCGCCUCGUGAAUUCAUCUCCGGGGGUAGAGCACUGUUUCGGCUAGGGGGCCAUCCCGGCUUACCAACCCGAUGCAAACUGCGAAUACCGGAGAAUGUUAUCACGGGAGACACACGGCGGGUGCUAACGUCCGUCGUGAAGAGGGAAACAACCCAGACCGCCAGCUAAGGUCCCAAAGUCAUGGUUAAGUGGGAAACGAUGUGGGAAGGCCCAGACAGCCAGGAUGUUGGCUUAGAAGCAGCCAUCAUUUAAAGAAAGCGUAAUAGCUCACUGGUCGAGUCGGCCUGCGCGGAAGAUGUAACGGGGCUAAACCAUGCACCGAAGCUGCGGCAGCGAACGUAUCACUUAAAGCGAUUCAGCGGGUUACGAUUGACGGAGCGAAGCGACGUCAAAGCGUAUACAAAGUCGAGUCGGUUUAAGGAUACGUUCGUUGGGUAGGGGAGCGUUCUGUAAGCCUGUGAAGGUGUGUCGUGAGGCAUGCUGGAGGUAUCAGAAGUGCGAAUGCUGACAUAAGUAACGAUAAAGCGGGUGAAAAGCCCGCUCGCCGGAAGACCAAGGGUUCCUGUCCAACGUUAAUCGGGGCAGGGUGAGUCGACCCCUAAGGCGAGGCCGAAAGGCGUAGUCGAUGGGAAACGGGUUAAUAUUCCCGUACUUGGUGUUACUGCGAAGGGGGGACGGAGAAGGCUAUGUUGGCCGGGCGACGGUUGUCCCGGUUUAAGCGUGUAGGUGUGUGUUCCAGGUAAAUCCGGUUCACUUUAACACUGAGGCGUGACGACGAGGCACUACGGUGCUGAAGCAACAAAUGCCCUGCUUCCAGGAAAAGCCUCUAAGCAUCAGGUAACAUCAAAUCGUACCCCAAACCGACACAGGUGGUCAGGUAGAGAAUACCAAGGCGCUUGAGAGAACUCGGGUGAAGGAACUAGGCAAAAUGGUGCCGUAACUUCGGGAGAAGGCACGCUGACACGUAGGUGAAGUGAUUUACUCACGGAGCUGAAGUCAGUCGAAGAUACCAGCUGGCUGCAACUGUUUAUUAAAAACACAGCACUGUGCAAACACGAAAGUGGACGUAUACGGUGUGACGCCUGCCCGGUGCCGGAAGGUUAAUUGAUGGGGUCAGCGCAAGCGAAGCUCCUGAUCGAAGCCCCGGUAAACGGCGGCCGUAACUAUAACGGUCCUAAGGUAGCGAAAUUCCUUGUCGGGUAAGUUCCGACCUGCACGAAUGGCGUAAUGAUGGCCAGGCUGUCUCCACCCGAGACUCAGUGAAAUUGAACUCGCUGUGAAGAUGCAGUGUACCCGCGGCAAGACGGAAAGACCCCGUGAACCUUUACUAUAGCUUGACACUGAACAUUGAGCCUUGAUGUGUAGGAUAGGUGGGAGGCUUUGAAGUGUGGACGCCAGUCUGCAUGGAGCCGACCUUGAAAUACCACCCUUUAAUGUUUGAUGUUCUAACGUGGACCCGUGAUCCGGGUUGCGGACAGUGUCUGGUGGGUAGUUUGACUGGGGCGGUCUCCUCCUAAAGAGUAACGGAGGAGCACGAAGGUUGGCUAAUCCUGGUCGGACAUCAGGAGGUUAGUGCAAUGGCAUAAGCCAGCUUGACUGCGAGCGUGACGGCGCGAGCAGGUGCGAAAGCAGGUCAUAGUGAUCCGGUGGUUCUGAAUGGAAGGGCCAUCGCUCAACGGAUAAAAGGUACUCCGGGGAUAACAGGCUGAUACCGCCCAAGAGUUCAUAUCGACGGCGGUGUUUGGCACCUCGAUGUCGGCUCAUCACAUCCUGGGGCUGAAGUAGGUCCCAAGGGUAUGGCUGUUCGCCAUUUAAAGUGGUACGCGAGCUGGGUUUAGAACGUCGUGAGACAGUUCGGUCCCUAUCUGCCGUGGGCGCUGGAGAACUGAGGGGGGCUGCUCCUAGUACGAGAGGACCGGAGUGGACGCAUCACUGGUGUUCGGGUUGUCAUGCCAAUGGCACUGCCCGGUAGCUAAAUGCGGAAGAGAUAAGUGCUGAAAGCAUCUAAGCACGAAACUUGCCCCGAG
rnacentral:rRNA from 1 species